AGGAAGGUCCUGUAAGCAUCGGACACGACUUUCUUCUGGGACCGACGGAUGAAGUCUCGCUGCUCCUUGUCUGGGAUGGCCCAGCCCUUCUGGAUCUUACACAGCUCCUCCAAGCCGUCGUUAAAGCCCUGAGAGGCAGCGAGAGGACAGGAGGUCAGCUGGAGGAAGGAAAGACGGCAGUUAGGAAACGGAUUCGAAGCACAGACACGUUCAUUUGGAGGACGACAAGGCUCUUCUGGUUUGACUCGAGGUCCAGGAAGACAUUUCGCCUCGCGGCUUCCUUCAGUCCAGGAUCAACGUUCCUGCGGUGCCACAAAUCAUACGGGAGUGUCGAAGCUGACACUGAGGAUGGAAGAUAAUAAAGUUCUGACCUUGGUGCCAGGCUGGAAGACGGGCAUGUUCCUGUCCGUCAGGUGCUCUGUGACUUUCAGCCAGCUGCAGCAGAGUGAAGAAACACACACACACACACACACACACUCGCUGGGUUCAAACAGGCAGAGAGAAGAGGACGCACGAGGCGGACAGGAAGUGGUCUGUGCGGUUUACCUGCUCUUGUACGUGUGGAUCUGCUGCUCGAUCAGCUCUUUGUACGACCUCUCAGCUGUCUUCUGGGUCACGGUCACCAGCUGGAUCAGCUCAGACCUGAACACAGCCAAAGGUUUAUGUGCUGCACACAUUCACUCAGCGGAAGGUCUGAACAGGAUGUUCCACCCUUUCACAAUAAAUCACACCCACUUACUGCAGACUUGGGUUUUUUAGAGAUUUGGAUUUUCUUCAGUCAUUCCUGCAGAGUAAAGUUCAGUAACCAAACUCGUCCUUAAGAGACGAGCUGCUGUAAAAUUCCUGAGCCUGUUCAGACCUCUCUGUUGUCGUUUCACAGAACUGGAGUAAUAAUAGUAACUAAUUGGAGUCGGUACGUGAAGGUGGAGGACGGACAAGAAGGAAACUCACUUCUC